ACGAGAUGCGUAUUGGAAAGCUUCGGCCGGAAGAUGCGUUAUCUAGUGGCGGACGGGUGAGUAACACGUGGGUAACCUGCCUUAUGGAGGGGGAUAACAGAGAGAAAUCACUGCUAAUACCGCAUAAGCACACAGUACCGCAUGGUAGAGUGUGAAAAGAUUUAUCGCCAUAAGAUGGACCCGCGUCUGAUUAGCCAGUUGGCAGGGUAAAAGCCUACCAAAGCGACGAUCAGUAGCCGAUCUGAGAGGAUGACCGGCCACAUUGGGACUGAGACACGGCCCAAACUCCUACGGGAGGCAGCAGUGGGGAAUAUUGCACAAUGGGGGAAACCCUGAUGCAGCGACGCCGCGUGAGUGAAGAAGUAUUUCGGUAUGUAAAGCUCUAUCAGCAGGGAAGAUAAUGACAGUACCUGACUAAGAAGCCCCGGCUAACUACGUGCCAGCAGCCGCGGUAAUACGUAGGGGGCAAGCGUUAUCCGGAUUUACUGGGUGUAAAGGGAGCGUAGACGGAGUGGCAAGUCUGAAGUGAAAACCCUGGGCUCAACCCUGGGACUGCUUUGGAAACUGUUAAUCUAGAGUGUUGGAGAGGUAAGUGGAAUUCCUGGUGUAGCGGUGAAAUGCGUAGAUAUCAGGAAGAACACCGGAGGCGAAGGCGGCUUACUGGACAAUAACUGACGUUGAGGCUCGAAAGCGUGGGGAUCAAACAGGAUUAGAUACCCUGGUAGUCCACGCUGUAAACGAUGAAUACUAGGUGUCGGGGAGCAAAGCAUCUCGGUGCCGUCGCUAACGCAAUAAGUAUUCCACCUG
rnacentral:rRNA from 1 species